rnacentral:snRNA from 1 species
ACUCAUUGGGAGGAGUUUGUUAGUCUCUGAUGUGAAACGAUACAGCGAAGAUUAGCAUGGCCCAUGUGCAAGGAUGACAUGCACAAAUAGAAAAAUAGUCUCUGAUGUG